AUACGGAAGGUCCGGGCGUUAUCCGGAUUUAUUGGGCGUAAAGCGAGCGCAGGCGGUUUCUUAAGUCUGAUGUGAAAGCCCCCGGCUCAACCGGGGAGGGUCAUUGGAAACUGGGAGACUUGAGUGCAGAAGAGGAGAGUGGAAUUCCAUGUGUAGCGGUGAAAUGCGUAGAUAUAUGGAGGAACACCAGUGGCGAAGGCGACUCUCUGGUCUGUAACUGACGCUGAGGCUCGAAAGCGUGGGGAGCAAACAGGAUUAGAUACCCUGGUAGUCCACGCCGUAAACGAUGAGUGCUAAGUGUUGGAGGGUUUCCGCCCUUCAGUGCUGCAGCUAACGCAUUAAGCACUCCGCCUGGGGAGUACGCACGCAAGUGUGAAACUUAAAGGAAUUGACGGGG
rnacentral:rRNA from 1 species